rnacentral:rRNA from 1 species
UACAGAGGCCACAAGCGUUAGUCGGAAUCACUGGGCGUAAAGCGCACGUAGGCGGAUCUUUAAGUCAGGGGUGAAAUCCUGGAGCUCAACUCCAGAACUGCCUUUGAUACUGGGGAUCUCGAGUCCGGAAGAGGUGAGUGGAACUCCGAGUGUAGAGGUGAAAUGCGUAGAGAUCCGGAGGAACACCAGAGGCGAAGGCGGCCUACUGGGCUGCACCUGACGCUGAGCCGCGAAAGCCAGGGGAGCGAACGGG